AAUAUUAGCUUUUUUCAUUUCAUUAGUGGAGUUAACAUCCACACACACACAAAAAAAAAGAUGAGUACUGCCUCUUCUAAUGGCGCACCCUCCCUCACCAACGUCCCUAUCAUCAAGUUCACAAAGCUAUUCAUUAAUGGAGAUUUUGUUGAUUCAGUUUCAGGGAAGACAUUUGAGACAAUAGAUCCAAGAACAGGAGAAGUUAUAGCAAGGGUUAGUGAAGGAACCAAAGAAGACAUUGAUAUUGCUGUAAAGGCAGCACGUUACGCAUUUGAUUUUGGUCCAUGGCCUCGCCUGCCUGGUGUUGAGAGAGCAAAACUUAUGAUGAAAUUUGCGGACCUAAUUGAGCAAAACACAGAAGAACUAGCAGCACUAGAUGCCAUUGAUGCAGGAAAGUUGUACCAUUUGUGUAAGGCAAUAGACAUUCCCUCUGCAGCAAAUACACUACGUUACUAUGCAGGUGCAGCUGAUAAAAUUCAUGGUGAGGUAUUAAAAGCUUCAAGGGAGUUACAUGCUUAUACAUUGUUGGAACCAAUUGGUGUUGUUGGACAUAUAAUUCCAUGGAACUUUCCCACUGCUAUGUUCUUCAUCAAGGUUGCCCCUUCUUUAGCUGCUGGCUGCACCAUGGUCCUCAAACCUGCUGAACAAACACCUCUCUCUGCUUUGUUUUAUGCUCAUCUUGCUAAAUUGGCUGGAAUCCCAGAUGGAGUGAUCAAUGUAGUACCCGGAUUUGGACCAAUUGCUGGUGCUGCUGUUAGCUCACACAUGGACAUUGAUGCGGUAAGUUUUACUGGUUCAACACAAACUGGACGUAAGAUAAUGGAAGCUGCAGCUAAGAGUAACUUAAAACAUGUUUCACUUGAAUUAGGAGGAAAGUCACCACUCAUAAUUUUUGAUGAUGCUGAUAUUGAAAAAGCUACUGAACUUGCUCUAUUAGGCAUUCUAUUUAACAAGGGAGAAGUGUGUGUUGCAAGUUCACGUGUGUUUGUUCAAGAAGGGAUCUAUCAUGAAUUUGAGAAAAAAUUGGUAGAAAAAGCAAAAACUUGGGUCGUUGGUGACCCUUUUGAUCCUAAUGUUCAGCAAGGGCCUCAAGUUGACAAGAAGCAAUUUGAAAAAAUUCUUUCGUAUAUAGAGCAUGGGAAGAAAGAAGGAGCUACCCUUUUGACUGGGGGCAAAACAGUGGGAAACAAGGGAUACUACAUUGAGCCAACAAUUUUCUCUAAUAUAAAGGAUGAUAUGCUUAUAGCACAAGAUGAAAUAUUUGGUCCUGUGAUGGCACUGAACAAGUUUAAGACUGUUGAAGAAGCAAUUAAGAGUGCAAAUAAUACAAGAUAUGGGUUAGCAGCAGGUAUUGUGACAAAGAAUUUGGAUAUAGCAAACACUAUGUCAAGAUCCAUUCGUGCAGGCACUAUUUGGAUAAACUGUUAUUUUGCUUUUGGAGAUGAUAUUCCAUUUGGAGGAUAUAAAAUGAGUGGUUUUGGUAAAGAUCAUGGAUUACAAGCCCUUCAAAAAUAUCUACAAGUUAAAUCUGUUGUUACUCCAAUUUAUAAUUCUCCAUGGCUCUAAUUAACUAUUUUCCUCUGUAUUUUGGAAAGUGACUACUUUCCUACUUUCUACCGACACUCGUUUUACUUCUUUUUUGGUACACACUCAUCUAUUUAUAUGACAUAUCAUGGCCCAUGAAGUAGUGAUUAUAAAGUUUUUCGAUGAUUUUGGUCAAA